AAAUGAUAAUGGCAAACUUCUCGAAAGAGGAGGACGCAAAGCCUAGGGUCUAAAGCCGUACCGGUCAUGAUCGCCUGGUUGCCGAU
rnacentral:ncRNA from 1 species